UACGGAGGGUGCAAACGUUGCUCGGAAUUAUUGGGCGUAAAGCGCGCGUAGGCGGCUACUUAAGUCGGAUGUGAAAGCCCCUGGCUCAACUGGGGAAGUGCACCCGAAACUGAGUAGCUAGAGUGCGAAAGAGGGUCGCGGAAUUCCCGGUGUAGAGGUGAAAUUCGUAGAUAUCGGGAGGAACACCGGUGGCGAAGGCGGCGACCUGGGUCGACACUGACGCUGAGGCGCGAAAGCGUGGGGAGCAAACAGG
rnacentral:rRNA from 1 species